rnacentral:lncRNA from 1 species
GGUUCCCAUGCCACCAUUCGGAGAAGAUCCAAAUGCAGGUGCAGUGCCACUCGUACCAAACAUAGAUGGAGAACUGGGUUUUGCACCAAAACUGAAGGGUGAAGAUGAUGCAGCACUAGAGCCACCGAAGGCGAAUGCACCAGUUGAGGUAGUGGGUGAAGCAGCACUAGAUGCUCCAAAUGCGAAAGCACCAGUAGAGGUAGUGGGUGAUGCGGCACUAGAUGAUCCAAAAGCGAACGCACCAGUUGAAGUGGUUGGUGAUGCAGCACUAGAUGCCCCAAAUGCGAAGGCGCCAGUUGAAGUGGUUGGUGAUGCGCCA